rnacentral:tRNA from 1 species
GCCCCGGUAGCUCAGCGUGGUUAGAGCGGCGGGCUGCAGACCCGUAGGUCCCGGGUUCAAAUCCCGGCCGGGGCU